UGUAAGCGUAUACCAAAGUUGUUGCAGUUAAAACGCUCGUAGUCGGAAUUUGGCAGUUCCGGAUGUGUGCACGUCGUGUGCGCGCUUUGCGGGGACUGCUUUUGUGGUCUUGCGUAGGAUGAGGCACUUUCAUUAGUGAACGUCCUCACGCAACCACUCUUUACUGUGAGAAAAUCAGAGUGCUCAAAGCAGGCAUUUGCCGUGAAUGUAUUAGCAUGGAAUAAUAGAAUAGGACUCGGUUCUAUUUUGUUGGUUUGUUGGGACUGAGUAAUGAUUAAGAGGGACAGUUGGGGGCAUUUGUAUUCCGGCGCUAGAGGUGAAAUUCUUAGAUUGCCGGAAGACAAACUGCUGCGAAAGCGUCUGCCAAGGAUGUUUUCAUUGA
rnacentral:rRNA from 1 species